GCUGGGCGUGGUGUCGGGCGCCUGUAAUCCCAGCUACUUGGGAGGCUGAGACAGGAGAAUCACUUGAACCCGGGAACUGGAGGUUGCAGUGAGCCAAGAUAGCGCCAUUGCACUCCAGCCUGGGUGACAAGAGUGAAACUCUGUCUCAA
rnacentral:SRP_RNA from 1 species